rnacentral:rRNA from 1 species
UGGGGGGCCCUACGGGAGGCAGCAGUGGGGAAUAUUGCACAAUGGGCGAAAGCCUGAUGCAGCGACGCCGCGUGAGGGAUGACGGCCUUCGGGUUGUAAACCUCUUUCAGCUCCGAAGAAGCGCAAGUGACGGUAGGAGCAGAAGAAGCACCGGCUAACUACGUGCCAGCAGCCGCGGUAAUACGUAGGGUGCAAGCGUUGUCCGGAAUUAUUGGGCGUAAAGAGCUCGUAGGCGGUGUGUCGCGUCUGCUGUGAAAACUCAGGGCUCAACUCUGAGCUUGCAGUGGGUACGGGCACACUUGAGUGCUGUAGGGGAGACUGGAAUUCCUGGUGUAGCGGUGAAAUGCGCAGAUAUCAGGAGGAACACCGGUGGCGAAGGCGGGUCUCUGGGCAGUUACUGACGCUGAGGAGCGAAAGCAUGGGGAGCGAACAGGAUUAGAUACCCUGGUAGUCCAUGCCGUAAACGUUGGGCGCUAGGUGUGGGGUCCAUUCCACGGAUUCCGUGCCGCAGCUAACGCAUAAGCGCCCCUGCCUGCGA